CCUACGGGAGGCUGCAGUGAGGAAUAUUGGUCAAUGGACGGAAGUCUGAACCAGCCAUGCCGCGUGCAGGAAGACGGCUCUAUGAGUUGUAAACUGCUUUUGUACAAGGGUAAACCUGAAUACGUGUAUUCAGCUGAAAGUACUGUACGAAUAAGGAUCGGCUAACUCCGUGCCAGCAGCCGCGGUAAUACGGAGGAUCCAAGCGUUAUCCGGAUUUAUUGGGUUUAAAGGGUGCGUAGGCGGAUUGAUAAGUUAGAGGUGAAAUGUCCGAGCUUAACUCGGGAACUGCCUCUAAUACUGUUGAUCUAGAGAGUAGAUGCGGUAGGCGGAAUGUAUGGUGUAGCGGUGAAAGGCUUAGAGAUCAUACAGAACACCGAUUGCGAAGGCAGCUUACCAAUCUAUAUCUGACGUUGAGGCACGAAAGCGUGGGGAGCAAACAGGAUUAGAUACCCCAGUAGUC
rnacentral:rRNA from 1 species